CCUACGGGAGGCAGCAGUGAGGAAUAUUGGUCAAUGGGCGAGAGCCUGAACCAGCCAAGUCGCGUGAAGGAUGAAGGAUCUAUGGUUUGUAAACUUCUUUUAUAUGGGAAUAAAGUGAGGAACGAGUUCCUUUUUGUAUGUACCAUAUGAAUAAGCAUCGGCUAACUCCGUGCCAGCAGCCGCGGUAAUACGGAGGAUUCGAGCGUUAUCCGGAUUUAUUGGGUUUAAAGGGUGCGUAGGGGGGUGGUUAAGUCAGUGGUCAAAUUGGGGGGCUCAACCCCCUUCCCGCAAUUGAUAUUGGCACUCUUGAGUGGAAGAGAAGUAGGCGGAAUGCGUGGUGUAGCGGUGAAAUGCAUAGAUAUCACGCAGAACCCCGAUUGCGAAGGCAGCAUGCCGGCUUCCGACUGACGCUGAAGCACGAAAGCGUGGGGAUCGAACAGGAUUAGAUACCCUGGUAGUC
rnacentral:rRNA from 1 species